rnacentral:lncRNA from 1 species
GGGCAACAUCCCUGCGGUUGCUCGAACGAUGGCCGAGCGGUGGGCGCGGGGGAGGCAAACGCCAGGGUGGGCCAGCGUCCUGCAGCAGAUCCAGCAUUGAUUCGCUCAAUGAUGCUACGGUUGGAGAUUUGCUGACAGAUCUGUUGGGAAGAAGAGGCCAUCAUUCUAGAAGCUUCCAGGCCACUGGCUGGCGCUAUCUUCACCCGGUGCCUCUGGAGGUGGUCGGUCAGCACAGGCUAGCUUAUGCCAUGGUAACAAGAGCAUCUCCG